GUGAACGCUGGCGGUAGGCCUAACACAUGCAAGUCGAACGGCAGCACAGUAAGAGCUUGCUCUUAUGGGUGGCGAGUGGCGGACGGGUGGGGAAUACAUCGGAAUCUACUUUUUCGUGGGGGAUAACGUAGGGAAACUUACGCUAAUACCGCAUACGACCUACGGGUGAAAGCAGGGGAUCUUCGGACCUUGCGCGAUUGAAUGAGCCGAUGUCGGAUUAGCUAGUUGGCGGGGUAAAGGCCCACCAAGGCGACGAUCCGUAGCUGGUCUGAGAGGAUGAUCAGCCACACUGGAACUGAGACACGGUCCAGACUCCUACGGGAGGCAGCAGUGGGGAAUAUUGGACAAUGGGCGCAAGCCUGAUCCAGCCAUACCGCGUGGGUGAAGAAGGCCUUCGGGUUGUAAAGCCCUUUUGUUGGGAAAGAAAAGCAGCAGGUUAAUACCCCGCUGUUCUGACGGUACCCAAAGAAUAAGCACCGGCUAACUUCGUG
rnacentral:rRNA from 1 species